rnacentral:rRNA from 1 species
CCACCGGGAUGUUCAUAACCCUUUGUUGUCCGACUCUGUUGCCUCCGGGGCGACCCUGCCUUCGGGCGGGGGCUCCGGGUGGACACUUCAAACUCUUGCGUAACUUUGCAGUCUGAGUAAAUUUAAUUAAUAAAUUAAAACUUUUAACAACGGAUCUCUUGGUUCUGGCAUCGAUGAAGAACGCAGCGAAAUGCGAUAAGUAAUGUGAAUUGCAGAAUUCAGUGAAUCAUCGAAUCUUUGAACGCACAUUGCGCCCCCUGGUAUUCCGGGGGGCAUGCCUGUUCGAGCGUCAUUUCACCACUCAAGCCUCGCUUGGUAUUGGGCAACGCGGUCCGCCGCGUGCCUCAAAUCGACCGGCUGGGUCUUCUGUCCCCUAAGCGUUGUGGAAACUAUUCGCUAAAGGGUGCUCGGGAGGCUACGCCGUAAAACAAACCCAUUUCUAAGGUUGACCUCGGAUCAGGUAGGGAUACCCGCUGAACUUAAGCAUAUCA